ACGCUAGACAACUACAUAGUGCACUAUUUAAUGAGCCCUAAUUCUCCUUAACUGCACUGUUGUCAGGAUCUUGUGAGUGUACACACUGACGACACCAACACUACAUCGACCGUGCACUAUUGAUGUGCCUCUCCUUCACUUAAAUGUCUUCGUGUCUCAAUCACCUAUGGCCAUGACAGGGGGUUGAAGUUUUUAAUUUAGAUAUUUGUACCCUUUUACUCUCCUCGUUAAUCCAACAUUGUAAAAUGAGGAGAGAGGUGCACUGAGCUCCUCGUGUUCGUCUUGUCUCUGGUCCUCGUUAAUCCAACAUUGUGUAUGAGGAGAGAGGUGCACUGAGCUCCUCAUGUUAGUCUUGUCUCUGGUCCUCGUUAAUCCAACAUUGUGUAUGAGGAGAGAGGUGCACUGAGCUCCUCCUGUUAGUCUUGUCUCUGGUCCUCGUUAAUCCAACAUUGUGUAUGAGGAGAGAGGUGCACUGAGCUCCUCAUGUUAGUCUCGUCUCUGGUCCUCGUUAAUCCAACAUUGUGUAUGAGGAGAGAGGUGCACUGAGCUCCUCAUGUUAGUCUUGUCUCUGGUCCUCGUUAAUCCAACAUUGUGUAUGAGGAGAGAGGUGCACUGAGCUCCUCCUGUUAGUCUUGUCUCUGGUCCUCGUUAAUCCAACAUUGUGUAUGAGGAGAGAGGUGCACUGAGCUCCUCAUGUUAGUCUUGUCUCUGGUCCUCGUUAAUCCAACAUUGUGUAUGAGGAGAGAGGUGCACUGAGCUCCUCCUGUUAGUCUUGUCUCUGGUCCUCGUUAAUCCAACAUUGUGUAUGAGGAGAGAGGUGCACUGAGCUCCUCCUGUUAGUCUUGUCUCUGGUCCUCGUUAAUCCAACAUUGUGUAUGAGG